rnacentral:rRNA from 1 species
ACCGCGGCGGCUGGCUUAACACAUGCAAGUCGCACGAGAACGUUCUGGCUUUGCCAGAACAAGUACAGUGGCGGACGGGUGCGUAUCGCGUAGAUAACCUGCCCUCAGGCGCGGGACAAUCACGGGAAACCGUGGCUAAUACCGCACGUCGUCUAGGCCCCGCAUGGGGACCAGAUGAAAGCUUGGGGUUACCCAGGCGCCUUGGGAUGGGUCUGCGUUGGAUUAGCUUGUUGGUGAGGCAACGGCUCACCAAGGCAACGAUCCAUAGCUGGUCUGAGAGGACGAUCAGCCACACUGGGACUGAGACACGGCCCAGACUCCUACGGGAGGCAGCAGUGGGGAAUCUUGCACAAUGGGGUCACCCCUGAUGCAGCCAUGCCGCGUGGAGGAAGACACCCCUAUGGGGCGUAAACUCCUUUUCUGAAUGAAGAAACCCCUGUAGGUUCAGGGCGCGACGGUAGUUCAGGAAUAAGCACCGGCUAACUCCGUGCCAGCAGCCGCGGU